GACGAACGCUGGCGGCGUGCUUAACACAUGCAAGUCGAACGAAGAGCGAUGGAAUCUUGCUUCUAUCAAUCUUAGUGGCGAACGGGUGGGUAACGCGUAAUCAACCUGCCCUUCAGUGGGGGACGACAGUUGGAAACGACUGCUAAUACCGCAUGCGGUCUAAUCUCGGCAUCGAGGAAAGAUGAAAGGUGGCCUCUAUUCAUAAGCUAUCACUGAAGUAGGGGGUUGCGUCUGAUUAGCUGGUUGGAGGGGUAACGGCCCACCAAGGCGAUGAUCAGUAGCCGGCCUGAGAGAAUGAACGGCCACAUCGGGACUGAGACACGGCCCAGAGUCCGAAGGGAGGCAGCAGUGGGGAAUCUACCGCAAUGGACGAAAGUCUGACGGAGCACAGCCGCGUGGGUGAUGACGGCCUUCGGGUUGUAAAGCUCUGUUAAUCGGGACGAAAGGCCUUCUUGCGAACAGUUAGAAGGAUUGACGGUACCGGAAUAGAAAGCCACGGCUAACUACGUG
rnacentral:rRNA from 1 species